CUGCUGGCUCUAGUGUUUUUCAAAAACACGGAAGCAGAGACGUACAACGAAGCCUGCCUCAUAAACACGCUCUUCCGAACGGUUUCUGAAUUGCAGGCGACUCUGAAGAGGAAUUUCGCGUCUUUCGACUGCAGAAUACUAGAAAAUGUUUGAAAACCGGCGAUUGACUGUAUAGCGUGCAUGCCAUGUGGGAAAGCAGGAAGUCUGGUACUCGUGUGAA